rnacentral:rRNA from 1 species
AGCGAACGCUGGCGGCAGGCUUAACACAUGCAAGUCGAACGGGCGUAGCAAUACGUCAGUGGCAGACGGGUGAGUAACGCGUGGGAACAUACCUUUUGGUUCGGAACAACCCAGGGAAACUUGGGCUAAUACCGGAUAAGCCCUUACGGGGAAAGAUUUAUCGCCGAAAGAUCGGCCCGCGUCUGAUUAGCUAGUUGGUGAGGUAACGGCUCACCAAGGCGACGAUCAGUAGCUGGUCUGAGAGGAUGAUCAGCCACAUUGGGACUGAGACACGGCCCAAACUCCUACGGGAGGGCGAGCAGUGGGGAAGUAUUGGUACAAUGGGCGCAAGCCUGAUCCAGCCAUGCCGCGUGAGUGAUG